UACAGAGGGAGCGAGCGUUGUUCGGAAUUAUUGGGCGUAAAGGGCGCGUAGGCGGUGCGGUAAGUCACCUGUGAAAUCUCCUGGCUCAACUGGGAGCUUGCAGGCGAAACUGCCGUGCUGGAGUGUGGGAGAGGUGCGUGGAAUUCCUGGUGUAGCGGUGAAAUGCGUAGAUAUCAGGAGGAACACCUGUGGCGAAAGCUGCGCACUGGACCACAACUGACGCUGAGGCGCGAAAGCUAGGGGAGCAAACAGG
rnacentral:rRNA from 1 species